AGAAUGCCGGUGUGAGUAGCGAAAGACGGGUGAGAAUCCCGUCCACCGAUUGACUAAGGUUUCCAGAGGAAGGCUCGUCCGCUCUGGGUUAGUCGGGUCCUAAGCUGAGGCCGACAGGCGUAGGCGAUGGAUAACAGGUUGAUAUUCCUGUACCACCUAUAAUCGUUUUAAUCGAUGGGGGGACGCAGUAGGAUAGGCGAAGCGUGCGAUUGGAUUGCACGUCUAAGCAAUAAGGCUGAGUAUUAGGCAAAUCCGGUACUCGUUAAGGCUGAGCUGUGAUGGGGAGAAGACAUUGUGUCUUCGAGUCGUUGAUUUCACACUGCCGAGAAAAGCCUCUAGAUAGAAAAUAGGUGCCCGUACCGCAAACCGACACAGGUAGUCAAGAUGAGAAUUCUAAGGUGAGCGAGCGAACUCUCGUUAAGGAACUCGGCAAAAUGACCCCGUAACUUCGGGAGAAGGGGUGCUCUUUAGGGUUAACGCCCAGAAGAGCCGCAGUGAAUAGGCCCAAGCGACUGUUUAUCAAAAACACAGGUCUCUGCUAAACCGUAAGGUGAUGUAUAGGGGCUGACGCCUGCCCGGUGCUGGAAGGUUAAGAGGAGUGGUUAGCUUCUGCGAAGCUACGAAUCGAAGCCCCAGUAAACGGCGGCCGUAACUAUAACGGUCCUAAGGUAGCGAAAUUCCUUGUCGGGUAAGUUCCGACCCGCACGAAAGGCGUAACGAUUUGGGCACUGUCUCAACGAGAGACUCGGUGAAAUCAUAGUACCUGUGAAGAUGCAGGUUACCCGCGACAGGACGGAAAGACCCCGUGGAGCUUUACUGUAGCCUGAUAUUGAAAUUCGGCACAGCUUGUACAGGAUAGGUAGGAGCCUUUGAAACGUGAGCGCUAGCUUACGUGGAGGCGCUGGUGGGAUACUACCCUAGCUGUGUUGGCUUUCUAACCCGCACCACUUAUCGUGGUGGGAGACAGUGUCAGGCGGGCAGUUUGACUGGGGCGGUCGCCUCCUAAAAGGUAACGGAGGCGCUCAAAGGUUCCCUCAGAAUGGUUGGAAAUCAUUCAUAGAGUGUAAAGGCAUAAGGGAGCUUGACUGCGAGACCUACAAGUCGAGCAGGGUCGAAAGACGGACUUAGUGAUCCGGUGGUUCCGCAUGGAAGGGCCAUCGCUCAACGGAUAAAAGCUACCCCGGGGAUAACAGGCUUAUCUCCCCCAAGAGUUCACAUCGACGGGGAGGUUUGGCACCUCGAUGUCGGCUCAUCGCAUCCUGGGGCUGUAGUCGGUCCCAAGGGUUGGGCUGUUCGCCCAUUAAAGCGGUACGCGAGCUGGGUUCAGAACGUCGUGAGACAGUUCGGUCCCUAUCCGUCGUGGGCGUAGGAAAUUUGAGAGGAGCUGUCCUUAGUACGAGAGGACCGGGAUGGACAUACCUCUGGUGUACCAGUUGUCGUGCCAACGGCAUAGCUGGGUAGCUAUGUGUGGACGGGAUAAGUGCUGAAAGCAUCUAAGCAUGAAGCCCCCCUCAAGAUGAGAUUUCCCAACUUCGGUUAUAAGAUCCCUCAAAGAUGAUGAGGUUAAUAGGUUCGAGGUGGAAGCAUGGUGACAUGUGGAGCUGACGAAUACUAAUCGAUCGAAGACUUAAUCAA
rnacentral:rRNA from 1 species